rnacentral:misc_RNA from 1 species
GAUGAAGAACGUAGCGAAACGCGAUAGGUAAUGUGAAUUGCAGAAUUCCGUGAAUCAUCGAAUCUUUGAACGCACAUUGCGCCCCCUGGUAUUCCGGGGGGCAUGCCUGUCCGAGCGUCAUUGCUGCCCUCAAGCACGGCUUGUGUGUUGGGCCUCCGUCCUCCUCCCGGGGGACGGGCCCGAAAGGCAGCGGCGGCACCGCGUCCGGUCCUCGAGCGUAUGGGGCUUCGUCACCCGCUCUUGUAGGCCCGGCCGGCGCUUGCCGACACAUCAAUCUUUUUUCCAGGUUGACCUCGGAUCAGGUAGGGAUACCCGCUGAACUUAAGCAUAUCAAUAAGCGGAGGA